GAACCAGCGGAGGGAUCAUUGACGCGUAGAAGACCCCGAAAGGGGGAUUCUGUCACACCCUUUGUCAACUUAAACUAUCGUUGCCUCGGCGUAAGGCCGGGGGAGGUCACACUCCCCCCCGCCCCCUCUGAGGGGGCGGAGCAGGCCCGCCGGCGGCCCUAUAAACUCUUGUUUUUACAGUGUCACCUCUGAGUAUAAACACAAAUGAAUCAAAACUUUCAACAACGGAUCUCUUGGUUCUGGCAUCGAUGAAGAACGCAGCGAAAUGCGAUAAGUAAUGUGAAUUGCAGAAUUCAGUGAAUCAUCGAAUCUUUGAACGCACAUUGCGCCCGGUGGUAUUCCACCGGGCAUGCCUGUUCGAGCGUCAUUACAACCCUCAAGCUCUGCUUGGUGUUGGGGCGCUGCCUCCCUCUAGCGGUGGCAGGCCCCUAAAUCUAGUGGCGAGCUCGCCAGGACUCCGAGCGCAGUAGUUUUACCACCUCGCUUAGGAAGGACUGGCGGUGCCCUGCCGUAAAACCCCCCACUAUAUAUAAAAGGUUGACCUCGGAUCAGGUAGGAAUACCCGCUGAACUUAAGCAUAUCAAUAAGCGGAGGAAAAGAAACCAACAGGGAUUGCCCUAGUAACGGCGAGUGAAGCGGCAACAGCUCAAAUUUGAAAUCUGGCCUCGGCCCGAGUUGUAAUUUGCAGAGGAUGCUUUUGGCGCGGUGCCUUCCGAGUUCCCUGGAACGGGACGCCACAGAGGGUGAGAGCCCCGUAUGGUUGGACACCAAGCCUGUGUAAAGCUCCUUCGACGAGUCGAGUAGUUUGGGAAUGCUGCUCAAAAUGGGAGGUAAAUCUCUUCUAAAGCUAAAUACCGGCCAGAGACCGAUAGCGCACAAGUAGAGUGAUCGAAAGAUGAAAAGCACCUUGAAAAGGGGGUUAAACAGUACGUGAAAUUGUUGAAAGGGAAGCGCUUGUGACCAGACUUGCGCCUGGCGGCUCAUCCGGGGUUCUCUCCGGUGCACUCCGCCAGGCUCAGGCCAGCAUCGGUUCUGGCGGGGGGAUAAGAUCGGCGGGAACGUAGCACCCUCCGGGGUGUGUUAUAGCCCGCCGAACGAUACCCUCGCGGGGACCGAGGUUCGCGCUCCGCAAGGAUGCUGGCGUAAUGGUCAUCAGCGACCCGUCUUGAAACACGGACCAAGGAG
rnacentral:rRNA from 1 species